GCAAAAUGGCGGCCAGGAGCUGAGCGUGAGCGGAGGGACGUCGAGGAGAAGGCAAAACCCGCUUUGGGCUUUUCCUCCCCCCGGGCAAAUUAUUGGUGAUGGACAAAAUAAACCAAGUGUGGAGGGAAGUUUGAGAAGCACUGCACUAAGAGAGAGUGUCUUUAAGUAAGCCUAUGCACUGGAUGGCAAGAUUCUCCUUGGAACCCUAGGGUGGUGCUUACAACAAAAGCUAAAAGCAGCAACAAUAGAACUGGCAAAGAAAAACAACACAAGCAGC